rnacentral:lncRNA from 1 species
CACACAGUAGGCAAAAACGGGAGAGGGCAGAGAGAGAAAUCGAGAAAAAAAAAGAAGAAAAGAAAGAAAGGAAGAAAGAAAGAAAGAAAGAAAGGUGAAGAAGAAGAAGGGAAAGAGGUAGUUCAAGGUUUAUCUUCAUUUUUCCUUCUCUUUAUUUUUUUCAAGAGGUAGAUAAAUUUUAUGUUUAAGUUGCUAGGGUUUAAUUUGUGGCUAAAAUUUCAUAUUUUUGCAAGAUGAGUACAAAUUGGAGUUCAAGUCUGUUGAUUAUUUAAUUUUCAAUUUCAUUAAGGUAAGAAUACCAAUUUUUGGCAAAUCCUAAAUUUUUAUUUGGGAUUCCUAAUUAUGAAAUGUUAGUGGGAAUGAUUAUAUUGAUGGAAAACUCUCAUGAAACCAUGAAUUUGAGAAACAAGAUGAAAAUUAAAAUAGGUGGAAUUAUUGUUACUAGUUUUCAUUAGAUUGGAAGGUAUAAUUAUUUUUUAUGAGUUGGGUGAAGGUAAAUUUGGAUGUAGUAUAUAUUUGUGAAGGUAUUAGAAAGUAGAAUUAGCUCUUAUCGAUUAAAGGAAAAUUUGGGAAAAUUAUUCAAAGUAUCGAGAAGUCAAGUUUUUAGUAUUCGACUAUUAAUAUUAAGAAAUACUUAAUACAAGAUUUGUUAAAUUAGUUAUUUUACAUCGUAUUUCAGGUGGUGACGUGAAAACUAGGCAAGAUUGGUAAAUUUAACCAGAUUGCAAUCCAUAGAUUUGUUAGUGGAGAAUCUAUGUUUUCAAAAAGAGUAUUUUCUUUUUAUUUUAUAGAAGCAUGUUAAUUACAUGAAAUGCUUUAUUUUCGAGAAGUAGUAAAUGAGCAUGAUUGUUUUGAAAUUAUCAUAAAAUAAUUGAUGUGAUUAUCUUACUCUAGUGUAUUGAAGGGCUACGGCCAUGUACUAGAGUCAUGUAUAUAACUCUUAUCCAUUGAGGGGCUAUGGCCACGGGUAAAGGUAUCCAAUAUAUACUGAGGGACUAUAGCAUUGUGUAAGGGUAACUUUUAUCCACUGAGGGGCUACGGCCGUGGGUAAAAGGUAUCCAUUAUACACUGAAGGGCUACAGCUGUGUAUAUGGAUGAUUGUGUUGUUUCCAUCGUGUACACUCAGGGGCUACGGUCGUGUACAGAGUGUUGAUCAGACGAUUUAUAUACAUAUGAUUAUAUAGCUUUCAGAUCAUCAGUAGAUGUAAACGUGGGGUAUAUUUUGAUGUGAAUUUUAUGUAUACAGUGGAUUAUUAGCCUUCAGCUUACAUUUCCCCGUAUACAACUCAGCUUAUAGAAUUCAGAUUAUAGAAUUCAAAUUGUUCAGUUUUCAGAGAAAAGCUUCUAGUUUAUAGUAUUGAGCAACAACAAUAUUUCACAGAUUUUCAUAGAUGUCAGAUUAUUUAUAUCCGUUAUAUUUUACAGCUAUUGAAUUAGAAUGAAGAAUAAAGAAUUUUAUGAUCCAAUUAUGUCAAUUUUAAAAGUGUUACUAAAUUUCUGAAUUUCUCAAAGGUUUAAUAGAACAAGAAUUAUGCAUAUAUAAAAAAGUAUACUUAUUUUUAAUUUAUCCACUCACUGAGUUACAAACUCAUAUUUUGUUACUUUUUUUUCUUAGCAGAUAGCAGCUAUGCAGCCUUAGAGCCUAUUGAUCCACCGAGAGUGCCACACACACACACAUUGUCCUUAAAUGUAUGACUUAUUUCGUCAAUUUAUAUAGUUCAAAAUUUUUAGGAUACAUGUAUGUUUUGACUGAAACGUUAAUUGGUAAUUUAUAGAUCCAUACCAUGGAUUCACUGCAUAUUUAGUAUUCUCAUUGCUUUUGGGGUCUUUUGUUUAUAAAAUAUGAUAAAUGUCUUGAAUAGUUUGUAUUUUGAAGGACUAGCGUGUUAUAUUUUAAAUUAUAUGUACAAUUUUGAUAAAGUUGAUGUUUGUUUAGGUGAUUUAGUCCAUAUUUUAAAGGAAAUUCUGUCAAUUUUUAUAUAAAUAUGUUAUAGUCAAAGUAGGUCAAGUUCGCCUUGAUGGUAGGUCUAGCACUUAGUUGGUAUCUACCAUUGGCGCAUGACACGUUCGGGUGUAUUAGGGUGAUUCGGGAUGAAUCGUGUCAAUUGGUAUCAGAGCAUGGUGAUGAAGUUCUGAAUUUUUUUUGUAGUUCCCGCAUUAGCAUAUCAUGCAUAUUCAAUGUGUGUGGUCGCAUGUCGUAGUGGUAGAAAUCACAGGCUCCCAGCUCUUGCUGCAAGAUGUAUGGAACCUCAACGAUAUAAGAACAUGUUUAGUAGAUUCGUAAAUGGCUAGAAUGUAAAUAUGACGGUUGCAAAGAUCCGAUGGUUGGAUAUAUUAUUAGUAGUUGAACUAAUACUAUGGUGUAUGUAUAAUUUGAGUACAAUUUUGCAUAGAUCACCAAUCCAAAGUAAGAGUUUUGAUGAUUUUAUAGAUUGUUUAUUCGUAAAUAUUUGAAUUGAUUGACUAUAUGAUCACUAUUGUGUAAUUAUUAAAUUGUUUUAUGGGUAUUUCAAAGGAAGUCUCUUGUAUAUGUUUUAUAUAAUAGAAGCUGGCAAAUGGGGUGAUUACGGUAUUUUGAGAUAGCAUUAUUUAAGGAGUCUUGAUUAUUUUAAAGAAAUAAAAGUUGAUGUAUAUAUUUAGAAUUCUUGGGAAAUUUACUACUUUAUAGAUCAUGGAAGGAUAAGGCACAUGCAUAGACACAAUCAAUAAUUGAAGCAUUGAUUAUAUCACGUAUAUGAUUGAUUGGCUUUAAUUUUCUCUUUAGUGUGUAGAAAAUUGAAGACAAUCUAAUUAUAAGGAAAAGCAAAAAAAAUUCGCGAUAUGAUAAAAGAAUAUUAGAUCAAUGAAAUAUGUUCUAAAUGGAGAGAAUAAAGAAAACAUGAGAUGAGGGGACAUGGUGGUCACAUUCCUGAAUAUUAUAAAAUGAUAUGUUUUUUGGGUCGUCAAUUUGAUCGACUAUUUCUUCAGCUGGAUUUUUAUUGGGAUCUUUUGAAUAGUGUACUCCUACUGCAAUAAUUUUCAUGGGACUGAAGCAUGUUAAAAGAGCUUUGAUGAGCUAGAGGAUUGAUGAAUUUGUGCAUUAAUAUUUUCUCUUUCAGCUGCGUUUGAAGAGUUUGUGAUUUACAUUGAUAUAUCAUGUCGGGGAUUAGUACGUAUCCUAAUGUGGAAUUAUAAUGUCAUGGUCCGUAUUUUUGAACAAUCAAUGAGACACCUAACAAACCAUUUAGAGUUAGAGUUGGUAUAAAUAAUUUGCUUGUAUUGCCCAAAUGGUAAAGAAUGUUAAAUUUAUGUUAUAGUGUGAGAACUUAAAUAGAUGUCGUUCACUAUGAUUGAGAAGUUAGGCAUAUGUAAUCUUAGUAUUGUGGUGUCUGGAUCUUGACAAAGUAAGUAUGAUGAUAAUAUUUAGUGAUAUCAAGAGGCUUGAUGUAAUUAGAUGCUUAAGGUCAUGUAUGAUAUGUAUGUAAGAGAUUACAUAAUUAGGAGAGGUAUAGACCACCAUGUUUAGUACUGUGGUGAAUUAAUGCAAUAGCAAAUUGGGAUUAUGAAGUAAAUUGAUCUUUUUAUGAACAUGUUGGAAUCAGGAUGUCUUUUAGUUCUAGUUUCUCUCUGGUUGAGUAUUUUCCAUUUAUGUAUUGAAUUUAAUAAUACUUAGAUGUAAUGGAUUCAGGGAUUGGUCCUCUUUCGAUAUUGAUUUGAGUUUUCCAUGUGAGAGUGGUUGGUGUUAGGGACUAAACAAGAAUUUUGGGAUUUAAAGUUUGAAAUAGGCUGCCAACUAGAAUAAAGGAUGAUGAUCUUAGUCAUAAGGAAAUUCAAUUCCUUAGUCAAGGUUGAGCCAUACCAUGUGUUAUCUACGAGAUAAUCUUAACUUGAUAUCGUCAAGCAAUUAUGUUAGUAGAAUUGAUUCAAGACUAUUUAAAAUUAAAUAGGAGUACGGUAUAUUGUAAUUUUGUAAAGAUAUUUGGGUUGGAUGAUAUUCAGUUUACUCCUUUGGAUCCUAAAAUAGCACAUUUUGCCCAAUGAUGCACACAUUAUAAAAGUUAUCGAUGGUAUGUUAGUUUAUUUUGUGGGCUAGGACAAUAAACAAUGUAAAUUGUGAUUGGGGUAAUGAUGUUAUUUGGUUACGUUAGCUCAGUAAAGUGAAUAGGAAAGCAUUCCCAUGACCUUGUGUCUUGAGCUAUAUACAGGAGGAAAUAGAUAAGGAAAUUUGAAAUUUGUAAAAUCAAUACUUACUCAAUAUUGCUGAAUAUGGGAAAUCAAGGUGGGAAUGGAAAUAGAAAUUAACAAGAGGAGAAGAGGAUAAAUAGAAUGUGCAUAAGGUAUCGCAUAGAGUGAUUAUAUAUAAAGAUGACAGGAUUCCAAUAGGCUGGCAGCAUCUACAUAGAUGUACAAGCAUUAGGAAUCAAUAAAAAGAAAGAAUAUAUGUAAGGAUGACAUUUAAGGUUCUGAGACGACAAAGAAUAGAAAAGAGGCAUGAAAAAUUUUAAAUUUAGAAUGUAGAGUAAAGUGUAGAGAAUGGAGUUAGAAUUUAUUGAGUUGGAAAAUUAACAUUCGAAAUUUUGGUAAUAUAUAGAUGUAUGAAAGGUUCAUAUGAUAAAUAUGAAGGUUAUUACUUUGUGAUCCUAAGGAAAAAUUGAUGUAACUAAAUGUUUUAUGUCAUACAAUAGGACGAUACAUGACCAGGUUACAUGAUCAUGACAUGAUAUGGUGAAUAGCAUGUAAAUGAAUAUUAUGGUUGUCCUAUAGCAAAAUAAUNNNNNNNNNNNNNNNNNNGGUUAUUAGUUAAUUAAUUUUGUCAAGGCCUAUGCGUUGAUGAUAGGUUGAUGGUCUCUUUAUGGAGCAAGAAUAGAGAAUUUUCAUAGAUUAUAAAGUUACUAGUGCUUCAUUAUCGAAGGGCAUAUUUACUAUGUCCCUCGGCAAAUAGAAUAGAAAGAGUAAAAAGGUUUGUGUUGGUUAGGAAUGACAAAUUAUAGAUUAUGUUCUAGAGUGUUGAGAUGAUCAAAACAUAAUUCAGAGUUGGCUAUAUUGGGAUUGAACUUAGAAAUUAUGGUGUUAUUACAUGGUGAGAAACAUCGAUACUUAUCAAUGAUUCAGGGUGUAUUUUUUUUAUUUUUAUUUUUUCAAAGAGUUGGAACUAGAAGUUGGGCACUUGUUAUGAGGUGAUAUAUAAAAAUUAAAGGAUAAGGUCACAAUAUUGAGAUAUAUCAAUUGCUAUUGAGGAUAACUAAAAUUUUAGAAAAUUAGGGAACAAUUGAACCUUUUUGUAGAUAUUUUUUAUUUUAUAAUGGAAGUAGAUACCCUCAAUAUUUUUCCUUAUGGUUCCAAGUACACAGAAUGGAGACCAAAUGGUAUUUGGAUCAUCGUAGACAGAUCGAUAAAUGUUACCAGAUUCUUUUCUAGUGAUAUAGUUAGUUCAUGGGAUAUAUUUAUAAAAUUAUAUUUAAAUUAUAUUUUUAGUUAUAAUGUGGAGCGAGUAUUUAUCCUUGGCUUAGUUGAAGGGAGUUAUAUGACUAUAUUAUAUUGGGCAGCUUCGUUUAAUAAAAUGUCAGAGACUGUGGAUGAAUUUAGAAGAUAUGCUAUCAACAUAUGGGUUGCUAUAUAAAGGGGAUUGAGAUAAUUAUUUAUCUCUUAUGAAGUGAUAUGUAAGAAAUUGAUACAAAUAAUUCUUUUGGGAUUAUUGAUGAUAUUGGCAUGUUCUAGAGAUUUGUUCAUUGUGAUGAAAGCUGCAAAAGAAAGUUAAGUCGAUUAUUACAGAAUAAUUUGAAUCAUGACAUAAGGUAAAGAUUUGGAGAAUAUGAAAAGUAUUAUUUUGAACUUCAAAUUGGGAAAUAAUUAAAUUUUUCUAAAUUUGGUAAAAUGAAAAGAUGGGAAUGUCAUGCAUUGGUCCUUGAGA